CUCUGGGGUAGGGCCCUUCAGUUUUGCCCCUUUGAAAUUUCAAAUUCCAGUUUGUGGACAAAGUCCUAAGUUUCUCACAAUAUAGGUCCCCAACCACUGACCAAACUCCAGUCCAGGCAGCCAGCAGGCCCGGGGCUGCUUCCUUUGGCAGCUCCCAAGGUCUGGGAGGAAGAGGUCUUGCCCCAGGGGGUCUGUCAGGCCCUUCCUGCAGCUCCAUCCCGCCCCACAGGGACCCCUGCCUCGCACCUGAGAGGAGCCCUCUUCCUGGAGCUGGGAUCUGAUGCUUGUUGGCACCGACAGCAGAUACCAGGCACAUGGCAGGAUUACACUUUCUUGCCUCCUUCGAAGUUGGAUGUGACCAUGUGACUUGUCUUGGCCAAUGAAAUGUGAACAGAAACCAUCUGUGUCACACCUGAGCAGAAGGUUUAAGAGCCAGUCCUUAGGUUGUUGUGGAAGCACAUACAGAUAUGGAGUCACCAGGAAGCGAAGAGCCCCCUGCCAGCCCCUGCCAGAUAUGUACCAAAAGUGGCUGAGAUUGUCAGAUGUUUGGGGGCAACACAGUAUAGAGGUGAGAGCACAAAUUCUGGAGCCUGACUUUCUGGGCUUGAAUUCUGGUUCUGCCAUGGACUAGCUCUGUGACCUUGGCCCCAGAAGACAAACAGGACCAACGAAUGGAUGCUACAAGGUUUGUGCUCAAAAUGGAGACCAUUUUUCUACCAGAUACAAUGGUUCUUACCAGGGGGAAAGCUACUUUUUUAAGUAGUGAGCGUACUGUCAUUGGGAGUAUCAAGCCCAAGCUAACCGUCAGGGAGGAUGGUGACAAGAUUCCGGCAAAGGACCAGAGGAUGAAUCAAAGUAGUAUCUCCCAGGGCAAAAGUCUUAAAUGAAAUACCGUCAGAACCAAAUUCAGUUGGAAAAACUGGCUUAUCCACAGGCAAAAGACUGAAGUUGGACUCUUCGUUAUACCAUAUACAAACAUUAAUACAAAAUGGAAUAAAGACCUAAACGUAAGAGCUAAAACUAUAAAAUUCUUAGAAGAAAACAUAGGGGGAAAUAUUCAUGACAAUGGAUUUGGCAAUAAUUUCUUGGCUAUGACACCAAAAGCACAGGCACCAAAAGAAAAAAAUAGAUACACUGAAGUACAUACAAAUGUAAAAAUUUUGUGCACCGAAGUAUAUUAUCAGCAGAGUGAAAGGGCAACCGUGGAAUGGGAGAAAAUAUUUGCCAAUCAUAUAUGUGAUAAGCGGUUAGUACCCAGAAUUUAUAAAAGCUCCUAUAACUCAAAAACAAACAAACAAAAAUAACCCAAUUUUAAACUCAGCAAAGGGCUUGAAUAGAGAUUUCCUCAAGGAAAAUAUACAAAUGACUAGGACGAACAUAAAAAGGUACUCACUGUCACUAAUCACUAAGAAAUGCAAGUCAAAACCACAAUGAAUUACCACAUCACACUCAUUAAGAUGAAUAUCUUUUAAAAAAGAAAAAAAAAAAACAAGUGGCGGCAAGGAUGUUGAGAAAUUGAAACUGAUUUGCACUGUUGUGAGAAUUAAAAUGGAAAAUAGUCUGUUAGUUCCUUAAAAAUAUAAUUAACAUAUGGUCCAGCAAUUCUACUUCUCGGUAUAUACCCAAAAGAAUUGAAAGCAGGGUCUGGAAUACAUAUUUUUUACAUUUCUUUCAUAGCAACAUUAUUCACAAGAGCCAAAAGUUAGAAGCAAGACAAGUGUCAAUUGACACAUGAUCAGAAAAACAAAAUGUGGUAUAAAUAUACAAUGGAAUAUUAUUCAGCCUUAAAAAAGAAAGGAAGUUCUGAUAAUUGCUACAACAUAGAUGAACCUUGAGAACUUUCUGCUAAGUGAAAUAGACUAGUCACAAAAGGGCGGAUAUUAUAUGAUUCCACUUACAUAAGGUACCUAGAGUAGUCUAAUUUAUAGAGACAGAAAGUAGAAUGGUGGUUGCCAGGGGCUGGAUGCAGGGAGGAAUGGAGAGGUAAUUUCUACUGAAUACUGAGAUUCAGUAUGGGAAGAUUUUAAAAAUUCAAGAGAAGGAACGGUGGCGAUAGUUGUAUCACGAUAAAUGUACUUAAAGCCUCUGAAUGGUACCCUUGAAAUGGCUAACCAUAUCUUAUAAAAAAAUUAAAAUUUCAGUAAUGCAUAAAAUAUUUAUACUGCAUCAUGGUCAAGUUUGGUUUAAUCCAGAAAUGCAAAAAUGAUUAAAUAUUAGAAAAUUUAUUAGUAGAUGAGGGAACUGAAGGAGAAAAAAAAUGAUUAUCUCAGUAGAUACAGAAAAAGCAGUUACAACCAUUCAGCACUAAUUAUGAUUUUAAAACAAAAAUUCUAGCUUACUUAGAAGAAACUUUUAAAAACUCAAUAAUAUUACCUACCCAAAACCUAAAGUUUAAAGUAUUCCUUUAGAUUCAAGAAUAAAGUUGCUCACUGUGGCAGAACUGUGAGUUGUUCUAUAUUGUCUAGCUUCCUAUCUUCCUUGUAUUAAAAUCACCGUUUCUUCUAUAUGGAUGCCUCUAAAAAGAUAUAUCUCAAGCCUUCCUUUGAAGCUAGGUGAGACCAGGGAUGAGAAUAUGUUCUGGCCAAUAAAAUAUAUUCACAAAUAGAGUUUGGCAGUUUCAAGGAACUUUUCUUAAAAGACAGCUGGAACAUGACUUUUACUCCCUUUUCUUCUUUGUCCCUUGUUCAUCUUUCUGUAACAUGGCUAGAGCUCUGGCAGCUAUAUUAGACCAUGAGGAUGAAAACCUCAUGGGGUUGAAAAAACAGUAGCUGGAAGGAGCCUGGGUUCCUGAGGACUGCUAUGAGGAAGAGUAGCCACACGAACCUCAGCCUGCCUACGUUGGACUUUUACAUAACUGAGGAAUAAUCUUCUGUCUUAAGCUCUUGCUAUUUUGUGUCUCAGCUACUCACAGACAAACUAAACCCAUUAUUACUGCUUCUAUUUGACAUUUGACUGGAGGCCCCCUCAAUGCAAUAAGACAAGAAAUUAAAAACAGAUUUAAUAAGAUAAUUUAGCCAGGUUGUUGAGCACAUUUUCAAUAUAUUAAAAGCACUUGUUAGUAUCCACUAACAUCAACAAAUGAGAAGAGUUAAUUAAAAAACCAUACCAGCAAUAAGAAUUAUAACUUAUCUGGGAAAUAACCUAACAAAAGACCUUUAUGUAUUAAGAUGACCAAACUUUAUGAAAAACAUAAAAGCAGAUCUAUAUAAAUGUAUUAUUUUCAUAGCAGAAGGAUUCACGAUGUAGAGAUGUCAAUUCUUCCCAAACUGAUCAAUAAAUUCCAUGAUAUUCCCAAGCAGACAAAGCCAGUUGGCAAAUUACACGGGUAGAUGGCUUUGUUGAAAUGCAGUGGAGGCGACAAACAUGCCAUUGAUCUCCAACCCUGGUUCUCCUCUGUCCAACCUCAUCCUAAAAUGUAUAUGAAUAAGCAAAGAGAAUGGCAUGAUGAUGGUAAAGAACAGCUGUGAGGAGGACACGCUCUACAAUAUGUGAAGCUAGAACUGCACCAAUAUGGUAACUACUAGCCACAUGCCGCCAUCGAACAUUUGAUUGGUGGCUACUUCAAAUUGAGAUGUGCUGACAGUGCAAAACACACAUCUUAUUAUAAAGGCCUAGUAUAAAAAAAGAA